rnacentral:rRNA from 1 species
UGCAGUCGACGAACUCUUCGGAGUUAGUGGCGCACGGGUGCGUAACGCGUGCGAAUCUGCCCUUGGGUACGGAAUAACUCAGAGAAAUUUGUGCUAAUACCGUAUAAUGUCUUCGGACCAAAGAUUUAUCGCCCAAGGAUGAGCCCGCGUAAGAUUAGCUAGUUGGUGGGGUAAAAGCCUACCAAGGCGACGAUCUUUAGCUGGUCUGAGAGGAUGAUCAGCCACACUGGGACUGAGACACGGCCCAGACUCCUACGGGAGGCAGCAGUGGGGAAUAUUGGACAAUGGGCGAAAGCCUGAUCCAGCAAUGCCGCGUGAGUGAUGAAGGCCUUAGGGUUGUAAAGCUCUUUUACCCGGGAUGAUAAUGACAGUACCGGGAGAAUAAGCUCCGGCUAACUCCGUGCCAGCAGCCGCGGUAAUACGGAGGGAGCUAGCGUUGUUCGGAAUUACUGGGCGUAAAGCGCGCGUAGGCGGUCUUUUAAGUCAGAGGUGAAAGCCCGGGGCUCAACCCCGGAAUAGCCUUUGAAACUGGAAGACUUGAAUCUUGGAGAGGUCAGUGGAAUUCCGAGUGUAGAGGUGAAAUUCGUAGAUAUUCGGAAGAACACCAGUGGCGAAGGCGACUGACUGGACAAGUAUUGACGCUGAGGUG